ACAUACGACCAUAGGUAGUGUAGACCACGGGAUCCCGUCCGCUCUCCCAUAGUUAAGCCACUAACCGGCGGAUUAGUAGUUGGGUCGGUGACGACCAGCGAAUCCCCGCUGUUGUAUGUU
rfam:Fusarium fujikuroi IMI 58289 draft genome, chromosome FFTJ_chr01